AUUAUUUCGUACUGUCGAUCGAUUCCUAAAUCAUUCAUUCACUUUAUUUUCAUCAUUUUGCAGAUUCCAUUCUGCAUGUGUGUUGCUGUUAGUCGAAAACGUCGUUUCAUUUUCAUUACAUUUAUGAAGAGUAGGCAAAACGUGUCACAAAACAAAAUGGACGACGAAUGCAUUCUAGAAGUUUCCUUGGAUAAUAAUUUGAAGAUUGAAAACUACGCGUUUGUUCUUCAGGCAACAUGAAUACUGCCUACCCAAUCCGUCGGAAUAAAACAGUGGAAGUCAGCAUGAUCAGGCAGGGAUUUUCCACACCAUAAAAUGCGGUUAAGUAGGUACUACAGGGAUGUCCAAGGCCAUUGUUCCAAUGAUGUAUUUUCAUUACCACCUCGUCCACUAUUCCACUCUUUUGGGUCUGGGUCUAAACUAUACCAUUAACU